UACGUAGGGUGCAAGCGUUGUCCGGAAUUAUUGGGCGUAAAGAGCUUGUAGGCGGUUUGUCGCGUCUGCUGUGAAAUUUCGGGGCUCAACCCCGAACUUGCAGUGGGUACGGGCAGACUAGAGUGUGGUAGGGGAGACUGGAAUCCUGGUGUAGCGGUGAAAUGCGCAGAUAGUCAGGAGGAACACCGAUGGCGAAGGCAGGUCUCUGGGCCAUAACUGACGCUGAGAAGCGAAAGCAUGGGAGCGAACAGG
rnacentral:rRNA from 1 species